UACGAGGGGGGCGAGCGUUGUUCGGAAUUAUUGGGCGUAAAGGGUGCGUAGGCGGUUUGGUAAGUCUUGUGUGAAAUCUACAGGCUCAACUUGUAGUCUGCACGAGAAACUGCCGGGCUUGAGUAUGGGAGAGGUGAGUGGAAUUCCUGGUGUAGCGGUGAAAUGCGUAGAUAUCAGGAGGAACACCAGUGGCGAAGGCGGCUCACUGGACCGGAACUGACGCUGAGGCGCGAAAGCGUGGGGAGCAAACGGG
rnacentral:rRNA from 1 species